AUUAUGUGUCAAUUUAGCAACAAAGUUGACUGUGAAACAAAACAAAAAAAAAUACAUAAUUUAUAAAUGUAUUUUGAACUAAAACUAUUUUUUUUGCCUGGUAUUAAGAAGGGAUUGUUGGUCAUCCUGCAUACAUUUGUUAAAAAGAUAACCCUAAAAAUUGGAAGUGAUCUUGGAAAUUUAAAAUUUAUUUAAAUGAAAGGCAGUACAUUAAAAAAACCAACAAAACAGAUCAAAACCAAUUAAAUUUGCAUUAUUCCAAACCACUGAGAAUGCCCUCAUGCUUCAGAAACAGGAGCUAAACAUGUAUUCCCUCCAUGUGUGAUGCAUUUAAUAACAAAGAUCAUAUCAUAACAAUGAAAGUUUUUGGAUUUGGUUAAAUUUGAGGGCGAGAGCAUGCAGGUACAGAAAACGUUAGAUAUGUUCAUCUGCUUGAUUAAUGUGUGAUGGGAUCUGGAUUCUCUGUUCAACUUGUCGAACAUUAAUUAAACCACAUAAAACUUUCAUUUAAACUGAAUAGCCUAUGUCAAUAUCAUUUAAAAAUUCAAAGAUAAAAAUGGAAUAUGACAGGAUAUUUUUGACGUCGUCAGUCAAAAUAACGGACAACAAAAAAGUCUAGCGCAACCUCUGCUCUCAGUAUUCCUUCAAGAUCAUUUUUUAAAAUUAUUUAUUUAACUUCUAUUUAAUGAGGUGAGUUAUUAAGAACACAUUUGUAUUUACACUAACGACAUUACAUAACGGCAUUAUUAUAAAUUCUUUGGUAGAAAAACAAUCAUGUUCAUCUUAUUGGGUUAUGGUAUUUGAUUUUAGCAGUGUGCGUACUCCAGAAGACUUCAGCGGUCUUCAGUGGUGCUGAAAACUGCGUUCAGUGAGACGGUUUUAUACCCGACCGUGGGGCUGAGUGACCAAAACCUGUACUGCGUGACGUAAAGCCAUACCAUUUCAAUCAAAUGGGAGAAUCCAACUGAGCACCGUUUGACUGAACAAGGCCAGCAGUGAUUAAUUAACAAACUUACAUGAAAAUGUCAGUGCUCACACAGAAACAAAGAUAGAAAGAUAUCAUUAAAAAGUUGAUGUAGGGGUUGGUUGCACUCUAAAUACAAGUGAGGCAGUUCACACACUGCCUCCCUCCAAGUCGAAGUGUUUCACUUCAACCCAUUCCUCCAUUUUUGUAGUUCGAUAGCAGAAAUAUGAUUAUCUACUGGCACAGAAAUGUUUUAUUCUCCAAUUGAUUAAUUGAUUUUUGAGCCAUAAAUGUUACUGCCAUAUGAAUGAACACAUUUUAGAAACAGGGCCUAUGCAUAGGUCAAGAGUUGGCAAAAACUAGCACAAAAAUGUCACUGAAUGCAUUUGGAUCAUAUAGUCCUUAAUACAAAAAUGGCAAAAACAAUGCCAGAUUGUUGAUGUAAUAAGACUAUUCGAAAGACGCUGUACGGGUUAGGUCCUUAAGUAGCUAAGAACAUGGCUACUCAAGAUAAGUAGUUGUCUUAAGUAGGUAUGUUUAUAUUAGCAGGGACACAGCACUAACAUAAACAGAAGGCACAAUGUUACUGCAGUUAAAACAAUGGCUAAGUUGUCAUAUCAACACAUAAUAAAUUCUUGGCUAAAAUAAAGUUUGUCAUUUUAGUGUUAUUUGCAGCUUAUUGUUUGAUGUGUAUGUCAUUUCCAUAGAUAGAAGGAACGGAUGCCCCAAUCAAACAAAGUCUUACUCUGAAUCUUUCUUCAUGGGAGUGGAGAUUGCUGAAGUUCUGGUCCUUCUAGUCCUUAACGCAAACAAAGAGAACUUUCCAUACUCUUGUUUGUACAUUUCCAAGAAAAAUAAAUUCAACCAGGCAGUUCAUAGAGAAUAUGAUGCUGCUUAAUGGUGUAAUGUGUGAGUUAAUAUGCCCAACAACCGAAUAUUCUCAUUUAUCAACUUACAGCUUUGGCAUCAUUGAGCCCUAACCCUAAACCUUGGACUUGAAAAUUGA